GGCUUCGUAGCUCAGCUGGUACAGCAUUUGCCACGUUUCGGCAUGUUGUUUCCGUCACUGGUUCGAAUCCAGUCGAAGCCC